AUUGAACGCUGGCGGCAUGCCUUACACAUGCAAGUCGAACGGUAACGCGGGGCAACCUGGCGACGAGUGGCGAACGGGUGAGUAACGCAUCGGAACGUGCCUAGUAGUGGGGGAUAGCCCGGCGAAAGCCGGAUUAAUACCGCAUACCACCUGAGGGUAAAAGCGGGGGACCGCAAGGCCUCGCGCUAUUGGAGCGGCCGAUGUCAGAUUAGGUAGUUGGUGGGGUAAAAGCCCACCAAGCCUGCGAUCUGUAGCUGGUCUGAGAGGACGACCCGCGACACUGGGACGGAGACACGGCCCAGACUCCUACGGGAGGCAGCAGUGGGGAAUUUUGGACAAUGGGCGCAAGCCUGAUCCAGCCAUGCCGCGUGCGGGAAGAAGGCCUUCGGGUUGUAAACCGCUUUUGUCAGGGAAGAAAUACGCCGGGCCAAUACCCUGGUGGGAUGACGGUACCUGAAGAAUAAGCACCGGCUAACUACGUGCCAGCCGCCGCAGUAA
rnacentral:rRNA from 1 species